AAAAACAUCGCCUCUUGACAAAAUAUAAGAGGUCCAGCCUGCCCAGUGACAAAGUUAAACGGCCGCGGUACCCUAACCGUGCGAAGGUAGCGCAAUCACUUGUUCUUUAAAUGAGGACUAGUAUGAAUGGCAUCACGAGGGUUGCACUGUCUCCCCUUUUUAAUCAAUGAAACUGACCCCCCCGUGAAGAGGCGGGGAUAUAACUAUAAGACGAGAAGACCCCAUGGAGCUUUAAACUCAGUAUCAACCGCCUAACAACAUAUCAUUACAAUUUGGCAGAUCUGAUUACUAGUUUUCGGUUGGGGUGACCGCGGAGUAAAACAAAACCUCCACGAUGAAAGGACCUAUACUCCUAAUCAUAGAGCCACAGCUCAAAGAAUCAAAAAACUGACAUAAAUUGAUCCAAUUAAUUUGAUCAACGAACCAAGUUACCCUGGGGAUAACAGCGCAAUCCACUUCAAGAGCCCCUAUCGACAAGUGGGUUUACGACCUCGAUGUUGGAUCAGGGUAUCCCAGUGGUGCAGCCGCUACUAAAGGUUCGUUUGUUCAACGAUUAAAACCCUACGUGAUCUG
rnacentral:rRNA from 1 species